GGGUUGUGAGGUUAAGCGACUAAGCGUACACGGUGGAUGCCCUGGCAGUCAGAGGCGAUGAAGGACGUGCUAAUCUGCGAUAAGCGUCGGUAAGGUGAUAUGAACCGUUAUAACCGGCGAUUUCCGAAUGGGGAAACCCAGUGUGUUUCGACACACUAUCAUUAACUGAAUCCAUAGGUUAAUGAGGCGAACCGGGGGAACUGAAACAUCUAAGUACCCCGAGGAAAAGAAAUCAACCGAGAUUCCCCCAGUAGCGGCGAGCGAACGGGGAGCAGCCCAGAGCCUGAAUCAGUAUGUGUGUUAGUGGAAGCGUCUGGAAAGGCGCGCGAUACAGGGUGACAGCCCCGUACACAAAAAUGCACAUGCUGUGAGCUCGAUGAGUAGGGCGGGACACGUGGUAUCCUGUCUGAAUAUGGGGGGACCAUCCUCCAAGGCUAAAUACUCCUGACUGACCGAUAGUGAACCAGUACCGUGAGGGAAAGGCGAAAAGAACCCCGGCGAGGGGAGUGAAAAAGAACCUGAAACCGUGUACGUACAAGCAGUGGGAGCACAGAGCAAUCUGUGUGACUGCGUACCUUUUGUAUAAUGGGUCAGCGACUUAUAUUCUGUAGCAAGGUUAACCGAAUAGGGGAGCCGAAGGGAAACCGAGUCUUAACUGGGCGUUAAGUUGCAGGGUAUAGACCCGAAACCCGGUGAUCUAGCCAUGGGCAGGUUGAAGGUUGGGUAACACUAACUGGAGGACCGAACCGACUAAUGUUGAAAAAUUAGCGGAUGACUUGUGGCUGGGGGUGAAAGGCCAAUCAAACCGGGAGAUAGCUGGUUCUCCCCGAAAGCUAUUUAGGUAGCGCCUCGUGAAUUCAUCUCCGGGGGUAGAGCACUGUUUCGGCAAGGGGGUCAUCCCGACUUACCAACCCGAUGCAAACUGCGAAUACCGGAGAAUGUUAUCACGGGAGACACACGGCGGGUGCUAACGUCCGUCGUGAAGAGGGAAACAACCCAGACCGCCAGCUAAGGUCCCAAAGUCAUGGUUAAGUGGGAAACGAUGUGGGAAGGCCCAGACAGCCAGGAUG
rnacentral:rRNA from 1 species